rnacentral:rRNA from 1 species
CGCUGGCGGCAUGCUUUACACAUGCAAGUCGAACGGCAGCACGGGUGCUUGCACCUGGUGGCGAGUGCGGACGGGUGAGUAAUACAUCGGAACGUGUCCAGAAGGAGGGGGAUAACGCAUCGAAAGAUGUGCUAAUACCGCAUAUGCUCUGAGGAGGAAAGGUGGGGGAGUCGAAAGACCUUACGCUUUUGGAGCGGCCGAUGUCUGAUUAGCUAGUUGGUGGGGUAAAGGCUCACCAAGGCGACGAUCUGUAGCGGGUCUGAGAGGAUGAUCCGCCACACUGGAACUGAGACACGGUCCAGACUCCUACGGGAGGCAGCAGUGGGGAAUUUUGGACAAUGGGCGCAAGCCUGAUCCAGCCAUGCCGCGUGAGUGAAGAAGGCCUUCGGGUUGUAAAGCUCUUUCGGCCGGGAAGAAAUCGCACGGGUUAAUACCCUGUGUGGAUGACGGUACCGGAAUAAGAAGCACCGGCUAACUACGUG